UACGUAGGGCGCAAGCGUUGUCCGGAAUUAUUGGGCGUAAAGAGCUCGUAGGCGGUUUGUCGCGUCUGCUGUGAAAGCCCGGGGCUUAACCCCGGGUCUGCAGUGGGUACGGGCAGACUGGAGUGCAGUAGGGGAGACUGGAAUUCCUGGUGUAGCGGUGAAAUGCGCAGAUAUCAGGAGGAACACCGGUGGCGAAGGCGGGUCUCUGGGCCGAUACUGACGCUGAGGAGCGAAAGCGUGGGGAGCGAACAGG
rnacentral:rRNA from 1 species